rnacentral:rRNA from 1 species
GACGAACGCUGGCGGCGUGCCUAAUACAUGCAAGUAGAACGCAGUUGCGAACGGUUGAGUAACGCGUAGGUAACUGCCUGGUCUCGGGGGAUAACUAUUGGAAACGAUAGCUAAUACCGCAUACUACCAGAUGGACCUGCGUUGUAUUAGCUAGUUGGUGAGGUAACGGCUCACCAAGGCAACGAUACAUAGCCGACUUGAGAGGGGGGUCGGCCAAAAAGGGAAUGAGACAAGGGCCAGACUCCUUCGGGGGGCAGCAGUAGGGAAACUUCGGCAAUGGGGGGAACCCUGACCGAGCAACGCCGCGUGAGUGAAGAAGGUUUUCGGAUCGUAAAGCUCUGUUGUGAAGGAAGCGGUACUUAACGAGAAAGGGACGGCUAACUACGUGCCAGCAGCCGCGGUAAUAC